UCCAGGUUGCCUGAAAAAAUGUAGUCACGUAGUUUUCUUAGACGGUGAACAAGCUGUAUUACAAAGAGCAAAAAGUUUUUUCUUUUGGAGAUACACCGAAAUAUUAAAGAAAUAUUCAGAGAGCGAGACAACAUUGGUUGUGAUGGCUGAACGUUUUUUCCUGCUACUAGUCACCCAUGAGGCACGGAGCAGCCGCGUGACACAUUUUGACCAGAGGUCAGGUCCUUUUAGCGGGAACCUAAACUUCCUGGAGCUGCAUUCGAAUAUCGUUGGAUGUCGAUGCUGGAACUGGCGUGGACAGGAAGUUGGGGGAGGUACUCAAUGGUAGGGCUUCACUGCACUUACUCAGUACUUCCUCUACAGCUCUCUGUGUAGAAAAAUAGAGUUUUCAGUUACCAUGGCAUUCACAAGGUCCAAGGAGGACGACACUAAUUCAGUAUACCCCAGCUUUAUCCAUGCAAAACACCAAGACAAGCUUAAGCUACAGAAUGGUAACAGAGAUGGGACAGGACAAGGAUUCACUAUUGUGAAUAGCACAUCUUUACCUCAACCGCUUUGACCAACUCGACCAGGUCAAUUUGGCGUGACUCCACAGGCUGGGGGAUCUCAAGACUGCUCUGCUUUGCAUCCUCCAGUAAAGGCUCAACUGCGAGAAAGCAUGGAUUUGCCAGGUCAAGCGUCUGAGCCUGAGGAACUGAGAGAUGAUCUACUAGUGUGAUUUAUGCUGAUGGAAUUUACCUCUGGAUCGCUUCUUUUGUAGCAGGAAGGGUAAAUACCAGUGACCUCAGCAGACCAGCUAAUCAUCCACAUCCCACCAGUUUGCAAGUGGACCAACCUUUGUGAAGAACUUGUGGCCACGGAUAUUCUGCGGUGACGGGCGAUCCCGUGGGUCGAUUUGAAAUAUUUUGCCCAUCAGUUUCCCAGCUUCAAUACCGAGGUUCUGGGGUAGAAUAAAUUUAGCUUCUUUGAUGUUCUUUAUCAUUUCACAGCGAUCGUCGUGAUCGAAUGGGAUUUCCCCAACCAGAAGCUGGUACCUGUAGUAAGAAAGGCAGCAAAGGUGUUUGAGGUCUUUCACAUUUGACAUAAAAAUGCUGUGCUUCCAAAAGAGCAAUUCCUCUCAACUGUGUGCCAGUAUUCAUUUUUCUUUUCUAUUUCAAGUAGAAAAAAAAAACAUAUUUAUGUAUGUUAGACGCAUGUCUUCUUAAAAUGUUAGACAGAUUUUAUUAGCCAUGCUGAUCUUUGGCUGGGAGGAGGGUUGAUAGGGUAUACGUACAUGACACAGCCCAGUGCCCAGACUUCUGCUUCCGUUCCAUGGCCCUCUCGUUUCCACACUUCUGGAGCCAUGUAACAUGGAGUACCACACACUUUUCUACAACACACACAAAUGGAAAACGUUAAGCGCACAUGUGCUUUAGCUUGCUGUAUGAACAAAUUUGAAAGCUUAGCCAGGAAUUCUGCAAAAAACACCUACUUCUCCCUCGGCUCCAGCUUGACCGCCAGUCCAAAAUCUCCAAUUUUCAGUUCCAUUUUGUCAUUCACAAAUAAAUUUUCUGAAAGACAAAUGAAUUUGCAUUAAGGAUAGACUCAAAUACUUUGCCAAACUGCAGACUUUACCAAAUUGAUAAAUGAACACUACACAGAAAUCCUACACUCGCAAUGCCAUGUGAAAUGCCAGCAUUAUUAAACAGAGAAUUGAGUAAAGCGUGAGUGCAUGUACACAUACCGAACUAGAUGUCCCUAUGGACAUAACAUAUGUCCCUAUGCCGGUGGAUGUGUUUUAUCCCCGAUAUCAGCUGUUGAAUGUAGUAGCGCACUUCGGGGUCAAUCAGAGUCCCGCGAGCUUUCAGGAUGUCACCAAGUGUCUGGGCAGGGAGAAACAGGGGCAGCCUGAUCCAUCACAAAGUCUUUGCCUUACUAAGACGUCUACAAAAGUCAGGGACUCACCUGCCUACUGCACAACUCCAUGAAAAUAUACAUGAACAGAUCGUCUUCAAAAGAAUGGGAGAAGCCCACAACGUUCUUGUGCCGUGGUUUUUUUCAAAAUCUCCACUUCUUGACACACCUGAGUGAAAUAUCAAACACACCAUCUCAUCAAGUACUGUAACAGGGAAAUGCAGAUAAACUGCAAAGAGGGAUGACAUUAAGCACAAUCCAUACCACAUACCUCCUCCAGUCCCCAGGAAUGUGGAGGUAUGACCAUCACAGCAAAGGUGUCACUACUUUCAAGGUCGGUCAUCUUGUAGCACUUGCCACAAGCACCCUAAAGAACAUGUCAAUAAAGGGCAUUUCUGACUGACCCUGUUCAAGCAUCUCCUCUCCGCAGAAAAAAAUCAACUGUAAUCACUUUCAACAACAACUUUGUGGUGCACACCUGUCCCAAAAGCGGCCAAGACAGCUGGGCAAUUUGAACUUGCUAGAUGGAUUACAUCACCACAUUGAAAAUUCCAUGGACGGAAAAAGAGGUGAACUUGCUAAGACAUUGCAACAAAACACGGAUAAAAACUUUCAUUACAAUCAACUUCAUUGAAGAAAAAAAAACCCAUCUCCGUUUUGUACACCAAACAUUCAGUUUCGGUAAUGCAGUAACACAUGCUCAGGAAUAAAGACUUUUAUGUAGUGUGCAGUGACUAUCACAUCAUAUGUUACUGCGGCUCUUUAGGCACUCAGCUAUCGGUCUCACUUUGUCAUACAGAACAGGGAUUCAUUUCCUGGUGAAAAACUUCCUAUGUGGUAUGUGAUACCUCAGCUCCAAGAUGUGGAGCAGUUAUCCAUUACACCGUAAGGCUGGAUAUUUUUACAAAUAAAGGUGGCAAUGGUGUCGGUUAUUGCCUUAGAACGAGCUGUUAGCUGGCAGGGUGUGAAAAUUAGGGCGUUUAUUUUUUUUUAAGAGUUUUGUGUUAUUUGAAAGCAUUGUGAAAUGUAAAAAAAAAAACAGUAAUGAUAUGAUGAAAAUGGGAAUACUGACGUUGACAAUGCCAAUAUAAUAUUUUUGUAUGUUAAGGCAUGUUUGUUCUCUGCUUUAAAGAAAGGGGGAUGUGUUGAUAUGUAGUGCAGUACCUUUGGUGACCAGCAGAGAGACCUGGAGGGUUGGGAGGAGGUAAAGACAAGGGGUAGGGAGACCGACGGCACAGAGCAGGUUGUGGGUUUGCAUGGAAGAUGUUGGUGGUUAAAUAAAAGUUCAUUGUUCAUGAAACAAGGUCUCUUCAAUGACAUAUGAACAGCACAAUGUAUCUCUUCCUUCUCAUGAUAAUCUGACUCGCCAAACAUGCCUCCAGCUCGCGUGAUGUGGCCGAGGGACUUGAGGAGAAUUAUACACUGACAGCAGUGGAGAUGAGAGCGCACUUGAAAUUAUCAGGUAAGAGAGGGUUAAUCGAGCAAAAUGUACAAUUAUUGGUCAGAAAAUGUCGGUCAAAUUUCUAAAUAAUUAUGGCGUACGAAUAAUGAUAUAUCCGUAAAUCGUAUUUUACCGAUUUAAAGAUGUUCAUUAUUCAUUGUAUUGUCACGCCCCCCUCGGGAGAAUGCAGCGGCAGCAGCCACACCUGAGUUACGUCAACUCCCUGUUUAGUUCUGCUUGGCGCUGCAUUAUAUGCAAGGUACUGUUGAGGGUUUUCAUAAGAAGUACAGGGCGGUCUUCCUCCUGUCUACCCCGAUCCGGUCCAUCCGCCUGCUUUGCUGCCAUUCCAUCCCAUCCCAUCCUGAUCCUCCCGGACCUCUUCCUUGUACUUGUCCUGCGUCUCGCAUGCCACCUG